AUAGCCCAGAUGAUGCGUGCAGCGGGUAACGAGCACCUACUGACCAUUCUACAAUACCCUGAUGCUGGACACCUCAUUAAGCUGCCCUACACACCCCACUUCAGAGCCACUUCAGAUCCAGCAACUUCAUAGUGCCUCAAACACGACAGAAAGUGAUCAUGUUGUGUGGGGAGGGUACCCAAAGCAGCACGCCAAUGCUCAAGAAGACUCCUGGGAAAAGAGCCUUGGCUUUCUAAGGCAACACCUGUACCCCAGACAUGACUCUGUCUCUAAGGCCAAGCUGUGAUGUCACGCCCGAGAAGCCUCCAGGACCUAGUAUGAACGAGUCUCUCAUUCACUGUACUGUCUGAGUUUCAACCUUCCCAUAGUGUUAACACCUGUGUCUAUAACCUAACUGCCAUAGUACACAGUUGACUGAUUCAAUUGUUUGAUUCACGAGGAAACAUUAGGAAAUGUAUUGUCUAUGAUGUUUAUAAUACAUCAGAGGAAGAAUAUGAGCAAUAUCUGUUGCUAUUGAGAGCAUGAGAGCUAUUUGGUAUGUCUCUUGCAGUUCUUCACAAUACCACACGAGGGUAAUGUAUGCACAUAUGUGGUGGUGGUCAAUGGAUGAGUCCUGGGGCUGUAUUCCUAAACGUCUGAGAGUAGGAGUGUUGAUCGAGUGUAAGGAUCCCCCUGUCAUAUUUAAUCUAUUUCAUUAUGAUCUGAAAGCCAGAACUGAUCCUAGAUCAGCACUCCUGCUCUGAGAUGUUUCAUACAUAGGUUGCAGUCUAAACUAGGGUUUCCAAAACUCGGCCCUAGCCCCCCGUGCAUGUUUUGGUUUUUGACCUAGCACCACACAGCUGAUUCAAAUAACCACUUCAUCAUCAAGCUUAGAUUAUUUGAAUCAGCUGUGUAGUGCUAGGGUAAAAACCAAAACGUGUACCCAGGUGGGGCCCCACGUCCAAGUUUGAGAAAUCCUGGUCUACAUGUUUAAAUAAACCCCAUUGAACUUGAUGGAUAGAGUGUUUAGAAAACGAAUAAACAUGUCUUGAUUUUACAGUUCACAAUCCAGGCAAAUUAAUACAGCACUGAGGAGGGAAUCAUCUUUAACUCACAUAGCCUGUGCACACACACACACACUGAGAAGGGAAUAAUCUUUAACUUUCAGUGUUCAGGGAGAUGCUAUGUCUAUUUACCUAGGGGUAACUAUGGGCACCUGCCUCUUUGCCAUUUGUCAUAACUGUGUCCAUUGUCUAACUCAAUGACAGGCAUGUCCAGGGUUUAGCCCAAUAGGGGACUGAUUCUGCCAGAAUAGGAUUUUUCACCCAUCUGUGCCCACCUGCUAAAUAAGCAGUACCCUACAAACACAGAAAAUGGCCCCUGUGUGUGUCCCUCUGUCCGCCAGAGACGGAUAAUGUGGAGGUUUAUGCUUGACGUGGUAAAGUACCCACCCAAUUAGCACAGUGGUUCUGGGCCGAUUCCGGCUGAGAGUCGGGGCACUCGGUUGAGAGUCAGACACGGCCGAUGUCAUGUGGCCCGAGUCUGGGAACUUUCGGCAGUAUUACUUAUGGCUAGGAUGCAGGGAUUGAGCUCGGGCCGAUUCCGGUGACAGUUAUCUAGCCCAAAUGUAUUACUUGGAACUCGGCCAAGCUGCUUUAUAUAAUUAACAUU
rnacentral:lncRNA from 13 species